rnacentral:rRNA from 1 species
GAUGAACGCUGGCGGCGUGCCUAAUACAUGCAAGUCGAGCGAACAGACGAGGAGCUUGCUCCUCUGACGUUAGCGGCGGACGGGUGAGUAACACGUGGAUAACCUACCUAUAAGACUGGGAUAACUUCGGGAAACCGGAGCUAAUACCGGAUAACAUGUUGAACCGCAUGGUUCAACAGUGAAAGACGGUCUUGCUGUCACUUAUAGAUGGAUCCGCGCCGCAUUAGCUAGUUGGUAAGGUAACGGCUUACCAAGGCAACGAUGCGUAGCCGACCUGAGAGGGGGAUCGGCAACACUGGAACUGAGACACGGUCCAGACUCCUACGGGAGGCAGCAGUAGGGAAUCUGCCGCAAUGGGCGAAAGCCUGACGGAGCAACGCCGCGUGAGUGAUGAAGGUCUUCGGAUCGUAAAACUCUGUUAUUAGGGAAGAACAAAUGUGUAAGUAACGAUGCACGUCUUGACGGUACCUAAGCAGAAAGCCACGGCUAACUACGU